AUGGAAGCGGCCGCCACCGAGAGAAGCUCUGGCCUCCCCUCCUCACCCUUCCUGUCUCCUCUCAUCCACCGGGACAAGCCGAGAAGCGGAGGAGAGGGCCAGAGGCUGAGGAGGGACGAGCGGCGCACGCGAGAGGCUGCCCUACCUAUAUAUCUAAAUGGACUCGGAGCUCGGCCACGCCGAUUGGGCGGGGAUGGACAAGCUGGACAUGGACGGCGACGAGAGCGCGGCCAGGCCCGACUUCGCCUGCCCCUACUGUUUUCAGUGGCUAUAACUACAACUACAGUUUUAACUCAUGCGAUUGAAGAUGGUGUUGAUCGGCAAUGUCCAGAUUUCUUUUGGCCCUGUUCUCCUGACGACGAGGUGCUCACAUUUGGUUGA
rnacentral:rRNA from 1 species